rnacentral:lncRNA from 1 species
GGGAGCUGGUCCCAGCCGGGUUUUCUCACCUUUGGGUUCCUGGGUGUGUGUGCGCUUCAGGGAGCUCUGGGCAGACUUGAGGUGGAACAGCGACCCAGGCCACGACCCCGAGAGUCCCUUCACACGGCAGUUCGUCCUGGUCCUGCCCUCCCGGGUUGGAGGAGUCGGUCAGGACCGAUCUGUUCACUCCAUCCGCUUGCUCCCGCACCCCCAUCCCUAAUCGUCUCCCUGAUACCUUUUCCAAGGACCCUUUGCUCCCUGGAGAAGCACCUCUGAAUGUCUGGGGCUCCCUUCUCCGAUGGAAGUAUCGUGUCGUUCAAAUCCGAACGCUGCCAUUUACUGGCCGUGUAACCUUGGGCGCCUCUCGUCUCAAUUUCCUGCUUUUCAAAUAGAGACCAUAACGAUCAUCAAUGAAACCCUUUGGUGAAAGGGGUACAAGGAACAGGAUGUUCACGUUUGGCCAAAUUAUCCCCCAGGGAGUGCUUGCAGGAAUCAGGGGAAAAACAUAAUGACAGUGGAGAAAUCUCGCCUCUCUCACCUCAACCAGAUCAAUCUUAUCAUCACCAAAAGUGGACCAGCGUGACGUCGUGUCUCCCGAUGUGACACAAUAUGAAGCACCAGCGUUAUCGAUGGAAUGAGGAGAGGAGGAAGAUGAUCUGAGUCACAAAGAAGAAAGCCAACCACAGCCUGAGAGGAGAAUGAGACAGAGAAAUCAGCUCAUAAAAGUGCCUGGCUCCAGCUGUUACCAAGAUCCAGCUGAAUUUCUCACUUUAGAUUUCAUAAGACAGCUUCAUAAUCCUUACCCUCAAAACCACACUAGUAAUGAUGUAAAAGACUCUUAUUAAAUGCUUUUUGUCUAUGUGGAAAGCAGUGCAUUU